rnacentral:piRNA from 1 species
UACAGUGUACUUACUAUGUUCUGUCUUUGU